rnacentral:ribozyme from 13 species
AACAGCCAGCAAAGUAAGAGCGAGAAGAGAGAAGAAAAAAAAGAAAAAAAAAGAUUUCUCUUUUCUUCUAUUUUCUUUUUUUCUCU